rnacentral:rRNA from 1 species
CGGGUGAGUAAUGUCUGGGAAACUGCCUGAUGGAGGGGGAUAACUACUGGAAACGGUAGCUAAUACCGCAUAAUGUCUGCGGACCAAAGCGGGGGACCUCCGGGCCUCGCGCCAUCAGAUGAACCCAUAUGGGAUUAGCUAGUAGGUGGGGUAACGGCUCACCUAGGCGACGAUCCCUAGCUGGUCUGAGAGGAUGACCAGCCACACUGGAACUGAGACACGGUCCAG